UGCAACCCUGUAGAACAAAGAUGCAUUCAGUAUGGGUCAACUAUGGCUCCUUCCCAGCUGGAGACCUAGAUUAGGUCACCUCCUGCCAUACCUAGCAUGAGGGUUGCUGUCUGUCAGCAGUAACUCCUUUGACUCAUCAUUAUGGAAUGCCAUACAUCAUGCUAGGCACUGGAAACAAACCAUGAUCAGGACCGACGGAGUCACUGCUCUAUGGAACUCACAGUGUCGAUGCUACAAUCUCUCGUCGAACGCCGUCUGUCUAUACUGACCAGCAAGUCUCAAGGAUCCCCAGGCAGGAUCUGCCUGCCCAGUGCUGGGAUUACAGGUGACAUAGUCUGUUGCUGAACAGGCCGAACAGGCCCUGUGGACACGUUCCAGGUUUGAACCAAUUCUACACUGCUAAGAGGAUAGCAACAAAUGCUUCCAUCACAUCUGCUCCUGACUCUCCAAAUCCAGAAGUACUACCUUGGCACAAACAACAAGAACAAAAACAAGAGCAAAAGAAACUAGAUCUCGACAGACAGUACACAGACUACCUGGCAGACCUGGAAGCCAAUCUCAGGAUGACAUGUCCCUAGCAGAGAAAAGGAACCAAAAGGAAUCAAAAGAAAUCUCCUGAACCAGGAGAUUUAUUUUGGAUCUUGAAUUCUUCUAAACUAUCAUGUCAGAAAAAUCA